UGUGGGAGCGGGCUUGCUCGCGAUGCAUUCGGCGUGGUGUGUCAGGUAAAACGCGCUGAUGUCAUCGCGAGCAGGCUCGCUCCCAGA
rnacentral:misc_RNA from 1 species